rnacentral:SRP_RNA from 1 species
CCGCACUAGUUGGGGAGAUAGCGGUGCCCUGUACCCGCAAUCCGCUACAGCGGGGAUGAAUCCCGGCCCCCGGACGUGUGGAUGUAUUGUCUGCCCUGGAAAAGCAGUGAUGAUAGACCGGUCCCGCGCAACGCGGCCCCGUGAACCGUGUCAGGCGGGGAACCGAGCAGCACUAAGC